rnacentral:tRNA from 1 species
GGAGAAAUGGCUUAAUGGUUAAGAGUGUUUGCUGUUUUGCAGAGAACCUGGAUUCAAUUUCCAGCCUCCA